rnacentral:rRNA from 1 species
ACACGACUACAUUAGAUACCCGCGUAGUCCUAGCCGUAAACGAUACUCGCUAGGUGUCGGCCACGGUGCGACCGUUGUCGGUGCCGUAGGGAAGCCGUGAAGCGAGCCACCUGGGAAGUACGGCCGCAAGGCUGAAACUUAAAGGAAUUGGCGGGGGUGCACCACAACGGGUGGAGCUUGCGGUUUAAUUGGAUUCAACGCCGGAAAUCUUACCGGGACCGACAGCAACAUGAAGGCCAGGCUGAAGACUUUGCCGGAUUAGCUG